rnacentral:rRNA from 1 species
UACGAAGGGGGCUAGCGUUGUUCGGAAUUACUGGGCGUAAAGCGCGCGCAGGCGGUCUUCCAAGUCAGUGGUGAAACGCCCGGAGCUCAACUCCGGAACUGCCAUUGAAACUGUUAGACUUGAGGAUGAGAGAGGUGAGUGGAAUUCCCAGUGUAGAGGUGAAAUUCGUAGAUAUUGGGAAGAACACCGGUGGCGAAGGCGGCUCACUGGCUCAUUACUGACGCUCAGGCGCGAUAGCGUGGGGAUCAAACAGG